rnacentral:rRNA from 1 species
ACUGCAAGUCGAGCGGAAGAAGGGAGCUUGCUCCCGGAUGUUAGCGGCGGACGGGUGAGUAACACGUGGGUAACCUGCCUGUAAGACUGGGAUAACUCCGGGAAACCGGAGCUAAUACCGGAUAGUUCCUUGAACCGCAUGGUUCAAGGAUGAAAGACGGUUUCGGCUGUCACUUACAGAUGGACCCGCGGCGCAUUAGCUAGUUGGUGGGGUAAUGGCUCACCAAGGCGACGAUGCGUAGCCGACCUGAGAGGGUGAUCGGCCACACUGGGACUGAGACACGGCCCAGACUCCUACGGGAGGCAGCAGUAGGGAAUCUUCCGCAAUGGACGAAAGUCUGACGGAGCAACGCCGCGUGAGUGAUGAAGGUUUUCGGAUCGUAAAGCUCUGUUGUUAGGGAAGAACAAGUGCGAGAGUAACUGCUCGCACCUUGACGGUACCUAACCAGAAAGCCACGGCUAACUACGUGCCAGCAGCCGCGGUAAUACGUAGGUGGCAAGCGUUGUCCGGAAUUAUUGGGCGUAAAGGGCUCGCAGGCGGUUUCUUAAGUCUGAUGUGAAAGCCCCCGGCUCAACCGGGGAGGGUCAUUGGAAACUGGGAAACUUGAGUGCAGAAGAGGAGAGUGGAAUUCCACGUGUAGCGGUGAAAUGCGUAGAGAUGUGGAGGAACACCAGUGGCGAAGGCGACUCUCUGGUCUGUAACUGACGCUGAGGAGCGAAAGCGUGGGGAGCGAACAGGAUUAGAUACCCUGGUAGUCCACGCCGUAAACGAUGAGUGCUAAGUGUUAGGGGGUUUCCGCCCCUUAGUGCUGCAGCUAACGCAUUAAGCACUCCGCCUGGGGAGUACGGUCGCAAGACUGAAACUCAAAGGAAUUGACGGGGGCCCGCACAAGCGGUGGAGCAUGUGGUUUAAUUCGAAGCAACGCGAAGAACCUUACCAGGUCUUGACAUCCUCUGACAACCCUAGAGAUAGGGCUUUCCCUUCCGGGACAGAGUGACAGGUGGUGCAUGGUUGUCGUCACCUCCUGUCUUGAGAUGUUGGGUUAGUUCCCNCACCAACGCCACCCUUGAUCUUAGUUGCCACCAUUCAAUUGGGCCCUCUAAAGGNACUGCCGGGGA